rnacentral:rRNA from 1 species
GAUGAACGCUGGCGGCGUGCCUAAUACAUGCAAGUCGAGCGAACAGACGAGGAGCUUGCUCCUCUGACGUUAGCGGCGGACGGGUGAGUAACACGUGGAUAACCUACCUAUAAGACUGGGAUAACUUCGGGAAACCGGAGCUAAUACCGGAUAAUAUAUUGAACCGCAUGGUUCAAUAGUGAAAGACGGUUUUGCUGUCACUUAUAGAUGGAUCCGCGCCGCAUUAGCUAGUUGGUAAGGUAACGGCUUACCAAGGCAACGAUGCGUAGCCGACCUGAGAGGGUGAUCGGCCACACUGGAACUGAGGCACGGUCCAGACUCCUACGGGAGGCAGCAGUAGGGAAUCUUCCGCAAUGGGCGAAAGCCUGACGGAGCAACGCCGCGUGAGUGAUGAAGGUCUUCGGAUCGUAAAACUCUGUUAUUAGGGAAGAACAAAUGUGCAAGUAACUAUGCACGUCUUGACGGUACCUAAUCAGAAAGCCACGGCUAACUACGUG